UGGCGGCAUGCCUUACACAUGCAAGUCGAACGGUAACAGGUCUUCGGAUGCUGACGAGUGGCGAACGGGUGAGUAAUACAUCGGAACGUGCCCGAUCGUGGGGGAUAACGAAGCGAAAGCUUUGCUAAUACCGCAUACGAUCUACGGAUGAAAGCAGGGGACCGCAAGGCCUUGCGCGAACGGAGCGGCCGAUGGCAGAUUAGGUAGUUGGUGGGAUAAAAGCUUACCAAGCCGACGAUCUGUAGCUGGUCUGAGAGGACGACCAGCCACACUGGGACUGAGACACGGCCCAGACUCCUACGGGAGGCAGCAGUGGGGAAUUUUGGACAAUGGGCGAAAGCCUGAUCCAGCCAUGCCGCGUGCAGGAUGAAGGCCCUCGGGUUGUAAACUGCUUUUGUACGGAACGAAAAGACUCUGGUUAAUACCUGGGGUCCAUGACGGUACCGUAAGAAUAAGCACCGGCUAACUACGUGCCAGCAG
rnacentral:rRNA from 1 species